rnacentral:rRNA from 1 species
ACGCACGCUGGCGGCAUGCCUAACACAUGCAAGUCGCACGAGACCUUCGGGUCUAGUGGCGCACGGGUGCGUAACGCGUGGGAACCUGCCCUUAGGUUCGGAAUAACUCCCCGAAAGGGGUGCUAAUACCGGAUAAUGUCUUCGGACCAAAGAUUUAUCGCCUUUGGAUGGGCCCGCGUUGGAUUAGCUAGUUGGUAGGGUAAAAGCCUACCAAGGCGACGAUCCAUAGCUGGUCUGAGAGGAUGAUCAGCCACACUGGGACUGAGACACGGCCCAGACUCCUACGGGAAGCAGCAGUGGGGAAUAUUGGACAAUGGGCGAAAGCCUGAUCCAGCAAUGCCGCGUGAGUGAUGAAGGCCUUAGGGUUGUAAAGCUCUUUUACCCGGGAUGAUAAUGACAGUACCGGGAGAAUAAGCUCCGGCUAACUCCGUG